rnacentral:rRNA from 1 species
CAGCCGUAAACAAUGUGCGUUAGGUGUGUCGGUAACCACGUGUUACUGAUGCGCCGAAGAGAAAUCGUGAAACGCACCACCUGGGAAGUACGGUCGCAAGGCUGAAACUUAAAGGAAUUGGCGGGGGGAGCACCACAACAGGUGGAGCCUGCGGUUUAAUUUGGAUUCAACGCCGGACAUCUCACCGGAUAAGACAGCUGAAUGAUUGUCAAUCUGAAGGUUUUACAUGACUAGCUGAGAGGUGGUGCAUGGCGUCAGUGACU